CAGCAGCCGCGGUAAUACGGAGGAUCCGAGCGUUAUCCGGAUUUAUUGGGUUUAAAGGGUGCGUAGGCGGCCUGUUAAGUCAGAGGUGAAAGGCGGUAGCUUAACUAUCGGAGUGCCUUUGAUACUGACGGGCUUGAAUGCAGCUGAGGUAGGCGGAAUGUGACAAGUAGCGGUGAAAUGCAUAGAUAUGUCACGGAACACCAAUUGCGAAGGCAGCUUACUAAAGUGUGAUUGACGCUGAGGCACGAAAGCGUGGGGAUCAAGCAGGAUUAGAUACCCUGGUAGUCCACGCCCUAAACGAUGAAUACUCGAUGUUGGCGAUAUACGGUCAGCGUCUAAGCGAAAGCGUUAAGUAUUCCACCUGGGGAGUACGCCCGCAAGGGUGAAACUCAAAUGAAUUGACGG
rnacentral:rRNA from 1 species